rnacentral:rRNA from 1 species
UGGGGAAUUUUGCACAAUGGGCGCAAGCCUGAUGCAGCGACGCCGCGUGAGGGAUGAAGGCCUUCGGGUUGUAAACCUUUUUCGCUCAUGGUCAAGCCUCAGCUUUGGGCUGUGGUGAGGGUAGUUGGUAAAGAAGCGCCAGCUAACUACGUGCCAGCAGCCGCGGUAAUUCGUAGGGCGCGAGCGUUGUCCGGAAUCAUUGGGCGUAAAGGGCUUGUAGGCGGUUGGCCGCGUCUGGCGUGAAAUCCUCUGGCUUAACUGGGGGCGUGCGGUGGGUACGGGUUGACUUGAGUUCGGUAGGGGAGACUGGAAUUCCUGGUGUAGCGAUGGAAUGCGCAGAUAUCAGGAGGAACACCGGUGGCGAAGGCGGGUCUCUGGGCCGUUACUGACGCUGAGGAGCGAAAGCGUGGGGAGCGAACAGG